UAGUGCAUGCUUAUUUUUACUGGUGAAUAAUACUCUAGUGGUCUGUUACUGUUAUCACUGAUGGUCUAAAGAUACUUUAGUGGUCGUUAAUGAUAUCACUGGUAGCACAAUUGACAUUUCCAAACUAAAUUCUUUGGAUACACGUUGAUAACGGCGGUGGCGGAUAAGCCCUUGUGUUAAAUUUUAUUUUCUUAUGAUUAAAUUUUAUUGAGGGGCAACAGACCACCCUCAAUAAAAUAAGCCCAAUGUUAAAUUUUGUUUUCUUAUGAUUAGGCAGAGAUAGAGAUAGAGAUAGAGAUGUGUUUUCCCUCCAAAGUGAUGAUUCCCCUCCAAAUUGUCCCCUGUGAAAAACCCAAAUCUUAAUCUUUCUUUUGCUUGGAUUAUUGGGUUAUGGGUACCUUUUUUUCACUGCAACAUUGGAUCUAAAGAAUUUUGGCAAUUUUGUUGUACAAGUAUGGGUGUUUUUUAUGCUGAUAGUUGUGCAAAGUUAUGGGUAUGUUUUCGCUGCAAGACUCUAAGGUAAGUAUUUAUGCCACCAACUUUAUAAAUUUUAUGGAUUCACCAGUGCCACUGAUUGAUAUGGCUUAGGAACAUCCACCUACAGUAGUUGUGACUAUUGAAGGAUGCUGUGCUGCCCUUUUAGUUUUAGUCACGUUGCAGCCUGGCCAGUUUAUAGUGAUUACUAUAUCUUUGUAAUGAAAUGGUAUUCUUACUGACCAGAUGUUGAGUCUUUUUGGUUUGCUCCUCGUGAGAAUUUUUCUUGAAGUAAAUUUUCUUAGUUUGGUUGUCCGAAGCUAUUCAAUAAAACAUUAGACAUUACGAUAUACAAGUUGAACAAAGUUAACGACAAGAGUCCAAUUAGGGAUGGAUGAUUGCUGAUAACAACAAAAGGAACAUAAUACGUUUGAAACAAUUUUCUCUUCAAAUCCUUUGAACAUUCAAAACAACAAUUAUGAAUAGAGAGUUCUUAGCCCACUACUUCUAUGAAUUAAUGAGGACUAAUUUAACUGAAAGCUGAUAAAGUAAGUUGUCUAAUUUAUUGAAAAUACUGAUGUCUAGUUCUUAAGCCUUGCAUAGUGCAGGGUGCAUGUUGGCCCGUACCAGUUAACUUGUUGAAGUGCCUAAUAUAACUUCUUUUACCAAGUGAAGCUCCUGGAUAACACCAUCAAUAUCCAUUCGAUGUUGUGGUAAUUCCAUGGAACAUGCUACUCCAAGUUCAAUCAGGUGCAAACAUGCUUCGUUUUUCAUUGAAAGUGUUUUUUCUUCAUCCUUGUUGGCUGAGGGUGGGUUAUCAUUGAAAUCAUUUCUUAGAAGUAUUGGAUCAACAAUAUCUAGCAAGUGAUCUCUCAUUUCUGUUCUAGCAUAAUUGUGAAGGUUUAUGCCUUCUUCAAAAAUGGGAUCUGUAGGCCUUUUACUUGUCAGCAUCUCCAACAACAGAACACCAUAACUAUAAAUGUCCCCACUUGUUGACACUUUGCCACCAAAAGCAUAUUCUGCAUUGAUCACCUUUUUUCGUUAGAAGAUAAGUAACAAUAAUUUGUAAAAGUGGUAUCAUACGAAUAGAUAGCAGAGAAAAUAGUAAAGUUCACCUGGAGCUACAUAGCCAAUAGUUCCUCGAAUUCCAAUUGAGCUAUCAUAUCUGUUUACAUGUUCCGGUUGAAGAAUCUUUGACAGUCCAAAAUCGCCAACAUGUGCAACCAUGUCUUUGUCGAGUAGAAUGUUACUUGGUUUCAAAUCACAGUGUACAAUGGUCCUGCCGUUAUGGUUAUGAAGAUAAUCAAGUGCAUAAGCGACAUCUAAAGCAAUGCUUACUCUUUGAAGAAGACUAAGUCGAGGAAGGUCAUUCUGUAAAUUUUGUGCCACGUGACUUGAAUGUAACCAUUCAUCUAGGCUUCCAUUAGGCAUGAAGUCAUAAACCAAAGCUUUGAAUUCGUUACCUUCGAAAUCAGAACCUGUGCAACAAGUUAUGACCUUCACUAAAUUUCUAUGUCGGGCAUUUAUCAAUGCAUUGCACUCAGAGAUGAAACUCUUUGAACCUCCUUUCUGACGAAGAUUCAGAACUUUUACUGCAACAAUCCCACCAUACAAAUCGAGAUGUCCUCUAUAAACAGAUGCAAAACCACCCUUGCCAAUCACAUUGUUUGCAGAAAAUCCGUCAAUUGCAUUAUAGAGCAUUCUAUAUGAAACCUUGAUAUGAGAACUCUCGUCAAUGUUGUUGGAUGUAUCAACUGCAUCUCUGUCUUUUAUUGUUCUCCAAUAGAAGAAAGAAACUGGUAUUGUAGCUGCACAAAACAGAACCGGCACUACAGAGAGGACGCAUAUAACAGAAAGGCUCAACUUUUUUGUUCCUUUUGAGUGAUUAGGACUACAUUUUGGUAAUAAAAGUUCUGGUAUACCUCCACAGAGUCUGCUGUUGCUUUUGAUGAUUAUCUUGCUAGCAUUUGAAAACACUCCUUUGCUGCUUACCUGACCCUCAAAAGUGUUAAAUGAAAUAUUCAGACUCUCCAAAGGUAGGAUCUCCAAGAAACUUGGGAUCUGACCGGUGAAAUUGUUAAAUGAUACAUCAAGUUUUUCAAGGGCCCUCAAAGAAACCAUUGAUGGUGGGAGAGAUCCAUGGAAGAAGUUGUGACCUAUUUUUAAAUUUUGAAGGCUGCUGCAGCUACCAAUGCUACUUGGAAGCUCACCUGAUAGAAGGUUUUCUGCUAGAAUAAGCUCAUUUAAGUUUCUAAGAUUGUUGCCAAACCCGAAGGGAAGUUGUCCUGAUAAAUGAUUACCUCCCAAAUUCAGGCUAAUGGAUAACAAUGCGAGCCCAAAAAGAUUCUUUGGUAUUCUUCCAUGAAGGAAAUUUUGCUCAAGUCUUAGCUCGAUCAACUUGUUGCAGUUCCCUAGACUUGAGGGUAUGGUGCCAUUCAAAUUGUUCAUUCCCAUAUGAAGUUCAAUCAACAAGGACAAGUUGCCUAAAGUAUCGGGAAUGUCUCCUGCAAGAUUGUUGUUUUUGAGUGUUAGUCUGCGUAAGUUUUGCAGCCUACCAAAAGUUGCAGGAAUUGUGCCCAUGAAUCGAUUGUAGGAUAAAUCUAAUUCGGUUAGUCCUGAAAGAUUACCUAAUGAAGGCAGAUUACCCAAAAUAUUGUUCGAGGAAAGCUUUAGGAAAUAUAGUUUGGUCGAAAAAUUUCCCAAGGAUUCUGGUAAAACUCCUCCGAGGUUAUUACUACCAACAUUUAAUAUCUCCAACUUACUGCAGUUAGACAAAGUAUCAAUGGCGGGGACUGCAUGUAACACCUUGCCAUUGGCAGAAAUCAUAAGAUUCGUUCCACGAGCUUGUAACACCUUGAGGGUCGUCUCUUAUCAAAGAUUUGAUACCCAGUAAUGCAGCUCUAUCUACACUGUUGUUUGUAAUAUCAUUAACGGUACUAUUCAGUGGAGCAGCGAGGACGAGUGCAAAUAGAGCGGCAACCUGUAGCCAAGUGAUGAGAAGUACGGUUGUACGUCUGUGGGCAAAGGAUAAACAAGUGACCUCCAUUUUUGGAAGCUAGAUAAUGGUGAUUAGGAGCACCCCCACUACUUGAAUAAAGAUUGGAUUAUUAAUUUAUGAUUUCUUUCAUUGCUAGUAUGCUUUUAAAUAGAAUUAGGUAUCAACAGUUAGGUAUCAACAUAUUAGUUAUCUAUGGGUGUCAGAGUUUAGAAAUAAAAUUCACGGGUGUCAAAAUUUAGUUCAUUCAUUUAAAAUGCUUCAAAAGACCUACUUUAUAAUUAA